rnacentral:lncRNA from 1 species
GGUGAAUCGGCCUUAUGUUCCUGCCUCCAGACCCUUUUCUCCUGCCUCCGUGGAAUGGAUGGCAGGACAUGGAAAAGUGUUUUGUCCAAAUGACAUGUCCAAGGGCACUGGCAGCUGAAGGCAAGAGGGAACCAGUUAGUGCCACGGAGGAAUGCCCACCCCCGUCUCCACACCGCACAGAACAAAGUGAGUGUCCUUGUCCUGAACCCUCUGAGAAGCAGCUCUGGAAUUUCAUUUAUUGGCAUUAAAAGCAGAAAAUGGUCCUAUAGAGCUCAAUUUAAUGGCAAAGAUUAAGGAAAGAAUAAAGACUCUGCCUAAUAAUGGUGA